AACAAAAAGACGCAGUUUUGAUUGAAUGGCCUUGAAACCUUCGUGUUAUGUUUAGAAGAGAUUCAAAACGUUUAUGAACAUGAUAAAGAACAGAUCCUCCUCUUCUCUUCAUCUCAUCUUAGCUUAGCUCGUUCAUCAUAUUCUAAUAGUGAUUUUUCUGUUUUGCCCUUCAACAAACAGGUUUUGCGGAUAAAAUGAAGCUAUCGGAGAGGUACGUACGCUUUCUCCUUCGAAAAAUACGAAGCUAUCUUUCGAUGCCUCGCCAAUUUUGAUCCUACCGGAGAGAAUCUGACUAGGUAUAAAAAACAAGAAGCGACGAAGUAUUGUAACUCGACGCUUGUUGAAGUUGAGAAUACGCUUGAUAAGUUCACUUGGCGAAGUUAGCACAGAAGAAGAUUGAGAAGGAAAACCAUUGCCCACAACUAUUAGAAAGGUCCAAAAGCUGGUUGGUUCAACUCCAUUGGAUCUUGCGAGGUCUGCUAUGGCUCAGGGUGGACAAAAUAGAAUUGGCAGGAAUGCACCCUGUCCAUGCGGAUCAAAGAAGAAAUAUAAAUGGGAAAGCAUGGAAGUUAUGCCUAGACACCGAAAAGAAGGAGAAGCAAGUUACAAGACUAUUGUAAUGAUGGCAAGAAAAAAAAAGUAUGUUGUGACUAAGAUCUUCAACCAAGAAAGGUAAGAUUUGAUGAAGAGAUCUCAGCUUCUCUAUACCAAAAAUGGAAGAGAAGAUCUCGGUCAGAGGAGGAAGAUCUUUGGAGGGAUGACUUGUCUCUGAUUCUGCUCAACCACCACAGGAGGUAGCUACAGUGGCUACGUGAUGGAAGAGGCAGAGGAUGGAGCAGAUGAAGCUGUCAUUAUCAUGAAGUAUCAAAGGCUAGGAGUCCAUCUUGAAGUGCAAGGCAAGAUGGAAGGCUCGGAUUGAGGAUUAUUGGUGACCAAGGAAGAAUUAGAGGUAAUUGCAUGUUGGUUAUUGCAUUCGGUUACUUUUCCUCUCUCUCUGGCCGAACCGGUUUGCAUGAAGAAGAAGAAGAUUGGCUUGGUUCUUUUGAUUUCAACCGUGGAGGAUUCUCCCUCUAUAAAAAUGGAAAAUAGCCAGGACUUGAAGUAAGGAGUAAGGAGUAAGAGUGCAAGGCACAGAGUUCUCAGAGCUACCUAAGCUAACAUAUGCUCUUUUCCUUCAAUGUAUUCUGUUUUGUAUUUUUCUGUUUAAUUUUGUCUGUCUUGAGUCUCAUGAAAAAAAAGAUAAAUAGUGAGGUUUGCAUGAAAAAGUCAUAGAGCAGAAAAAGGUAAAGAGUGCAAAAUUAAAAGAAAAAAAGCCAUAGAUGUCCUUAGAGUUCAUUUGUACAUCUGUGUUGUGUUUCAUGAUUCUGUGAAAAUCCCCUUAUAAGUUGGGUUAGCACUUAGCAGUUGAAAACUUGGCAGUAACCAAGUCAAGUUUAGGAUUGGGAUUUAGAUUCUGGACUUGUCCCAGAUAGAAAAGGUAGUUCCUAGGGAGAAUUGGUAUUUGUAAUCAAAGAUGAUUAUAGUAAAAUUCCAUCAUUGUUGUGAUGGAGACUGGAUGUAGGCUGCACUGUACUUAGUAGCUGAAUCAGGAUAUAUUUGGGUGUAAUUUUUUCUCUCUUCUACUUUAUUUCUGUUUCUGCUGCACAGGAGAUAAAACUGAAAAAUAUCUCGUUCCGGGUCACGAGAUAAAAAAAAGUCUCGUGGCUGGGUAUGAGAUAAAAAUCAAAAAGUCUCCAGAAGAUGCCUCAAAGACCAGCAAGUGUUAUUAAGUAAAAAAGGGGCUAAAAUUCAACCCCACAUUCUCUUAGUCACUGAAACCAUCAUCUCUGUUGAACAUGACAUUGCUCCAAAAAUUUGAUUAGUUAUAAAUGUGUUUUGGUUGACUUUUCUUUUGUAUGGAGCUACUUUAUAUUUUAUAUUUUUUAUACAGGACAAAUGAAGU